AUGGUGACACCUUUGAAAUGGUGGGCUUGGAUAUUGUGGAGGAGAAAGUGCUGUGGCAAGAGGACUUUAUCAGUGACAUACAGCAGUGAGACUUUCAAAAGUCAAGGUAUAUGAGCAGCUGUCUGUAUACCUUCAACUAAGAAAUGUCAUUGACCAACUACAGGAAAAUUAUGCAGGUGGAUUUGUGCUGUAACUUCAUUGACACAGUAGUCCCAGAUACAUCACACAUAUAUGUGGCCCUGGGAUAUGAUUUUUUUUCCUGGAACUUACACUGGCUGAAGCAUUCAAGUUCAUUGACUGAAAGAGUUCUCUCCUCACAGAGUUCAGUGACAGCCUCACCAAGGACUGCAUGAAUAUCGAUGCCCGUAUCCACAUGAUGCUAGAGGGAUUUAGAGAAUGACAAGGCCUGAAUUACUUCCCAGAACCAUCUCUCCAUUGA
rnacentral:lncRNA from 1 species